AUGAUACAAAUAUAUUACAAGCUUUUAAAUAGCUCAUUUUGCAAGGGAAAAUGGUGCAUAAAGGAAAUAGCCAUAAAUCAAUAUUUGCUGAGGAAUUAUCCAAAAUUCAUCUUAAAGUCCUACACAACAAAAGUAUUUAUGUAUAAAACUAGCAAGGUAAACCCUUGUACUAACAACAAAAAAUCAUUGUAA